AUACGUAGGGGGCGAGCGUUGUCCGGAAUGAUUGGGCGUAAAGGGCGCGUAGGCGGCGCGGUAAGUCUGGAGUGAAAGUCCUGCUUUCAAGGUGGGAAUUGCUUUGGAUACUGCCGCGCUUGAGUGCAGGAGAGGUUAUCGGAAUUCCCGGUGUAGCGGUGAAAUGCGUAGAGAUCGGGAGGAACACCAGUGGCGAAGGCGGGUAACUGGACUGCAAGUGACACUGAGGCGUGAAAGUGUGGGGAGCAAACAGGAUUAGAUACCCUUGUAGUCCACACUGUAAACGAUGAAUGCUAGUUGUAAGAGGUAUCGACCCCGCUAGUGCCGGAGUCAACACAAUAAGCAUUCCGCCUGGGGAGUGCGGCCGCACGGUUGAAACUCACAGGAAUUUACGGGG
rnacentral:rRNA from 1 species